CUCGGAAGUUCGAGUGAUUGAUCUGCGGCAAUUAGCCCUAACGCGCUCGAGGGAUCCCAGUAUCACACGGGGACGGUUGCUGGUUGACAAAGCGCUUCCGGCACCGUAUCUUUCCUACUCUCGUACAGCAAAUUCGAGUCGUUACUUCCACUUUAACGGCAACGCUGACUGCGUGACUGAACGAACCGAGAUCUACAUUAUACAGCGCAAAGCAGCCUGCAGAAGGAAAGUUCACGAAAAGACGACAAGGGGGCUUCGUUGUGAGAAGAGGUAUCGUCAUUCUGGAUACUUUUAUUCGCGGUCGGGAAAAGAAAGCAGGAAGAAAAUAGAUGGAAGGGUAAAAGGGAAGGGCAGCUGUGAGCGAGCCAUUGAUUCAUGGCUGCCAGGAGGGUUGGCCUGGUUCAUGCAUAAGUGAUGCCAUCACCGACAGCCGGGAUGAACAGCGCCACCUAGGACGGUCGUGACCGCACCUUCGCAUCUGGAGAUCGAUCCGUUGCCUCAUCAUCGUCGUCGUCGUCGUCUGCUCACUAUAUGACCGCCAGUCGCCAGGGUCACGUGAUGGUGUUCUGGGAAGUGGUUCGUCGUUUAUGUGAACUGUACCGCUUCUUUGAUGAAAUCUGAGUUCAACAAAAACUAAAAUGGCUUGAUUGAUUGA